rnacentral:lncRNA from 1 species
UUAACAUCAUUCUCCAAAAAACAAGUUUUUAACAUAUUCCCGACUUUGUUGUAAAAAAAGGAAAGGAAAUUAUUUUCCUAUUUACUUAUUGUCUUCCCUCAACUCAAGCUGACCUUGCUUUAUUGCCGAUCAAUUCCUGCGUUUCUUCAACAUGAAUUAUUUGGCGCCGAUUGAUUCCCUGUUUCUUCAACACGAUUUAUUUGGUAUUGAUAUUUUGCACCUUAAUCGUUGCAAUUAUAACUAUUUAAGCUGGCGGUUUAUGCUUCUACUGCAAAGUUUCUUUCCAUUUUCCAUUCAGUUUCUCUUUUGUUGAUUUACAGUUUAGCAUAUUGCUGACCUCUUCAUUGUUAUUUGUUGGUAUCAUCAAUACUUUUCGUCAAAUUGAGUAUUGUUGAAUGCCUGUUUAAGACUCACUUCACACCAAUAUAUCAUCCGGCUCACUCUCAACUUUUCGGUCUCAUUUGAAACACCGUUUCCAGAAAUUGUAUCAAUCUUAAAAAUAAAAGAUUAAAUUCGAAAACAAAUCGACAGUUUGAGAAGUGUUACUCAUGGAGAUCUAACACAAUAGGCUAUAGAGAUUAUGUAGGUACAAUUAGUUGAAUUUCUGCAUCCAAAAAAUGGAUAAAAUUGAUGGUGGAAGAGAUAGGUUAUGAAGAGCCCUAAUAAUCCAUAUAUAUAGCCAUUUUUUGGACGUGGAAAUUCAAUUAAUCGUAGCUACAUCAUCUCUAUAACAUAUUGUGUUAGACCUCCAUGAGUAACACUUCUCAAACUGUUGAUUUGUUAUCGAAUUUAACUUUUUAUUUUUAAGACUGAUACAAUUUCUGAAAACGGUGUUUCAAAUGAGACCGCAAAUUUGGGAGUGAUCCGGAUGAUAUAUUGGUGUGAAGUGAGUGCCCAAUUAGAUAAUUAACCCUUGUUUUAACACAAUUUUGACUUGCAUUUCAGCUAUAAAAAAAAUCCAGCACAUCUUCACAAACACUUGACAUGAAUGAAUUGGAGUAAUGGGAAGCAUUUGGAAAUGGAACAAUCAUUUUCAUUUACUUGUUUGUUUAAGUAAAAUCCAAUUGGAAUGGAAUGAAGAUAAUAUAUAAAUACCAGCUUACCUUGUUAUGUUCUUCGUGAAUUUUACGCGAUGGGACUUUAUGCUAUACGCUUCUAGGAUAGUUGAUGAGAGCAAUCAACCUUUGAAAUUUUCAAGAGUUGAGGGAGAGAGCGUUUGCAAGUAGCGUUAGUGGUACAUUGGAUAGAUAAUGAAUAUCUGUUUCAGUUUUUAUGCAAGGACAAUUCGCUGUGAAAUUAAGACUCAUUAGUUGCUUGCUUGGGGAGUGUAGACGAAAAUAUGGAGAAACCAUAAUGCCAUAGAGGAAAAAGAUACAUUACUUUUAUUUGUGCUAGAUGCCCCCGAAAGAAAUAAAUUGAAUCUUUUGGUGAAAGUAGAUGUUCUCAUUGUGCAUUUUUUUCAAGGAUAAAGAUGCAGCUGUUUAUGCAAAUGUUAUAUUCAGUUAAUCAGUUUAUUGUUUGUAAAUGUAUAUAGCUCACCUGUACAGCGUAACCAGUUUACCUUCAUCAGUUAUCACUAUUAUGGUUGCUGAUGGAUGGUAAGAAAAUCUAUAGAAAACCUUUUCGCUUGUUAAAAAGAGAUUACAGAGAUUAUAUAAAUAUGUAAUGCAACAUAAACAUAAUCUGCUAUAUUCAUUUCUCAUUCAUUACUUAAGCAAGUCAUCCCACUUGCAAUAUUGUCCGCCAGCCAAUGCACGAUGAUACCUGUCUCUACAAUAGACUGGCCUCCCGUCAGCAGCUUCAGCUGCAGCUGCUGCCAGAUCAUCAUCUGUCCUCACUUCUGCUGGCAAUCUUACGAGCUCCUCUUUUCUACAAAAUUUCAUCAGAUUAAUCACAGCGGGUGAAUUUUUUUUUUGAUAGAAGCAUAAUUAAAGUUUGGUAUCCAUUCAAUUUGCUGGUAUACCUUAUAUUAAAUUUUGUGCUGCUCUUCGAAGCUGAAGUAUUUGAUGUAUUUUCUUUUGUAGCAAAACUGCUCUGAAUGAAAUCUUCCACCGGUGUGGCAAAUGUGAAUAGGAAAGCUGCUGUAACAAGUAAAGCCCCUGUUCCUACUAGUGUCUGCUUUAGUAAUUUGAUGACUGGUUUGACCUGCAUGUAUAUGCUUAUCAGAUCUAUUAAAAUAUUGCUGAUUAUUGCUUUCUAGUACAAAUUUGCUAUUUUCUUUAGUUUGGAUUUUAAUGUUAGAUGUGAAAAGAUCAAAAAUCAUGCAAAACAUCAUUAGUUUGAUAACUAAGAUUUUUGUUUGUGUCCAGGAAUUCCUCAUUCAUAAUUUUCCUUUUACAAACAAUCUUGUUGACUUUUUUACCUUGUAUGAUCCCAGUAAUCUGUCUCGGGCAAGAAUCUGCAAGGAAGAAGCGGGCUUAACUUAGCAAUAGAUAAGCUGAAUAAUAGUGUUAGAUACAUGAUAGUAGUGUCUUAGAGAAAGAGAUUGAAGUUCUAAUAUUGUACUGUACCCUGCAGUCGUUUCAUCAAAUCAUUGUUAGUGAUUAUAUAGCUUCCUACAACACAUUGGUUUUAUGUAUCGCCUGAUUUCUCACUUUCAAUGAUCAAGAUUAAGAUUUAAAUUUGUGUCAAAAUCUGUCUCGUGGAAUAUUUUCUUGCUGCCCCUUGAGUUCUACAAGAAAUUUAUUUAUGCUUAUGUUCAGAGCAUGUGGAACUUAUUAAGGAUGAGGUCAAUGUCUCUGGUGAGCAAUGCUCCUCAUUUAUCUCUCUUUUUCUCUAUGAGCUAAUAAUUACUAUCUACAUAAAUUUCUGGUUUGAAAAGCUAAAUACUAAUGAUCACUUGUUCUAGCCUCCUAGGGGGGCGUCAACUAUCUUAUACCAGAACGUCUUAAUCUCUAUAAACAUAUUAGAAGUAUAAGUUCAGAAGAUGAUGCUGCCCAGCUCCAUCUUAUAUAAGCUUAUCAAAUAUUUUUGUUUGACUUCAUGUCUAAGAUUUAAACUUGUUAUCCUAUCCUGAGUCCAGGGUUCCUAGUAUGAAUUUCAUCGAGUCAAUUUUUUUCUUUUAUCGGAUUCAAGUUUUUAUCUGGUUUUACCCAAAUUUUGUGAGGGAAAACAUGUUUUUAAAUUAAGAAAACAUAGAUAAGUAAAUGAGUGACAGGGUAUAAGUUUACAGAUAAAAUUGAGAAAUUAGGAUCUGACCUCAGGUGGCUUUACCCACAUUUGUCCAUCAUACCAUCCACUCUCUUCAUAAGGUAUCACCGCUGAUAAAAGUCUAUCACCAACGUAACUCCAUCCCUGCAAUAUGUUAAUCACACGUUUUAGUAGCACUUAGGCAAGUGGCCACUAUAAUGUUGCCAACAAAUCCAUGGAAUCUACAGCUAUAACACUGGGAAGUUGAUUUCAAAUUUUGAUUCAAAGGGCUAUAUUUCAGAUGUUCGAAAUGAUGCUUGAUUAAAGCACUGUUAUUUUGAAGUCACUUGGUAAUUGUGAAGCUGUUGGUUUAUAACAUAUGAUAUAACUUGAGGUAACGUACCAGGUAAAUUCUGAGGACAAUCAGUGAAACAAGAAAUAGAGUCCCUGUUCCAGCUGCCAGGGCAAAUCUUAACGGUUCCUGCAGAAACAGAGCGGAUAUUAAUGAAAAACUAAAAAGCAAAACUAUGGACUAGUUUUAAGUAUCAUGUUUCUUUAUACCACUUCAAAGGUUCACCACUGAUCCAGCAUACUAUGCUAAAUGCUCUCUAUUUGAAAUUUAUUUAUGCUAAAAAAAAGCUCUGUAUUAUCAAUUUUAACAUUUGAAACAGCGGUAUGGGCUAACUUUUCUCCACCCAUUUAAAUCUGAUUUUUUCAGGCAUUCAUAUUCUUGUGUUUGCUUGAUCAAAUGUUAAAGUGUGAUGCUUAUAUAUCUUGAUAUUUGGGAUGUAUCCUUAGCUUUCCUCGGGAAAUUUCUUUGGGUUUUACCUAGCAGGCCAUGUACUACAUUACAACUUGUAGCUUUCAGUAUCUUAUAACUUUACAGAUUAUAUUUAUUCGACUAGGUCAAUUGUAUUUUUAAGUUCUUGUAUAGAGAUAGAUUAUAAAUCGAAUUUGCAUGUCUCGAGUAAGCAUUGAAUCUUAGUUGACAAAAUCUAGAGGCAAAAGGUGUUGGGACUUGGGAAGUAAAUUGCAGCUAGUUGUGGAACUUGAGGGAAGUUUUUUGUGCAGCUAUGGCUGUUUCAGUACUAAUUGGAUGCGUUAUAGUGUGUUUUCUAUCUUGAUGAUUGUUAAAAAUUUGAAAUUGCAAUCUUAACCUAUCUUCAUCUGGCAUGUCUUGAAUCUUCAAAUCUGGAAAUCUCUAGUUUCUUUUUCUUUCUAGUUCCGUUUUAUCAUCAAUAGACAUUCUUAGAACCUAUUACGUUACAUAAUACAUGAAAAUGUCAUAGUGCUAUAACAAGUGACCAAAAUCUUGAUGGUUUUAAUAAGACAUGAUCAUAUUUACCCUUCCAGGAUUAAAGCUUGCAGCUGCAAUUGGCGCUCCCAGGACUGUGAAUGUCGCUAGCCACAAGCCCCCAAGGCGCAGGAAAAAGGACCCUGGAGUCAGCUCACCCCAGGAGUAUAAAGGUCCAUCUUUAAGAGAUGAGUAUUCAUUAACCUGUCACACAUAAUUAAACUUAGCUCAAUAUGAGAACAUGAUGAUUUAGUUCAGUAGUUGUAUAAGUUGAACUAAUAACAAUCACUGACAUGUUAGCUACACCUACCGGCCUUUGUUCAAAAGGUACUUCGAUUUCCAAGCCAGGAUCCCAGCUUCGGCCAGGUAAUCGACUCAUGCCUCCAUCCAUUCCAUCUUUCACGGCCUUGGUUGGAAUCCGCUGGAGUCUGUUGGCCCUGUCAUAACCAAUUAGCCGUGAGCCAUAGUUGAUAUUGGCUUCUCUUGGAUUUGGAACUAAAGAACAAUAGACAUUUAACUUGAGCAUUUAUAUCCUCACUUUGAAUUCAGUUCAUCCAGAGGUUCUGGGUUUUUGAAAUGAGGCUAACUGAACAGGGAGCUGAAAUGAAUGGAUGCAAAUUCUG